UAACUAUUUUUUCUCAAUCGAUUUCAGCUUCUGCAGAACGUGUGAGACGUCAGGCCACAACUGAGGAACCCAAGAAAGAAGAGUCCUUCGAGAAGGAGCUCUGUAAAGAUAAAGAUGCCGGUGAAUGGUUCCGUUUAGUCGCUGGCGAGGGCGAUAACUGUCGUGAUGUCAUUCAGUGUACAUCGUCGGGCCUACAAGCUAUUCGUUGCCCGGCUGGUCUGUACUUCGAUAUUGAGAAACAGACUUGCGACUGGAAAGAAUCUGUGAAAAAUUGCAAAUCAAAGAACAAAGAACGACGUGUCAAGCCUUUGCUGCACACAGAUGAGCCACUCUGUCAAGAUGGCUUCUUGGCUUGUGGUGAUGGUAAUUGCAUUGAGCGUGGACUUUUCUGUAACGGCGAGAAGGAUUG